GGUCGUUCUACUCCCAAAUUUUGCUGAAUAUGGCAUUAUAGCACUAGAAAUAAUGGCUGCUGGUGGAAUUUAUUCUGGUGCCAAUCCUGCUGCACAUGAAUCUGAGAUUAAGAAGCUGGUUCAGGCUGCCAAUGCCAAGCUAAUUGUGAGGGGUAUAGAACUACCAGUGAUUCUGCGAGGCGAAACGCGCAUUGGAAGUGCCAUGAAUUGGAAUGAACUGCUCGAUGCAGCUGCCCUUGCAAGCGACAAAUAUGUCUAUGAAGAUGUCACCAGAGUGAUCUAUGCGCACUUCCAUUCUCAUUAGGCACCACAGGGAUGUCGAAAGUGAUGCAGGCAUUCAAGAAUGACAGUAAAUAACCGCGAAGCCUUAUGGUUUCCCACAACCGUUUGACUUAACAUAAGUAGUAGGAAGGCCUUGUCCAGAUUUGAUACAUGGCCUGGCCAGGUAACCAGUAUCAGGUGGCUCCCGUAGAGAUAGAAGCUAUCCUAGUUGCUCAUCAUUCUGUUGAAGAUGCAGCUAAGUAUAUUAACUAAGUAAUUCAAUAUUUAUUACCUACUGCAGACUGUAUUCUUUUUGUCCCCUUUUUUUUUUUUUAAUUUUUCUUUCUCCUCUAUUGAAUAAAUUAUACAUUUGGGUAAAGGUUACCAAUGUUAUUUAUGAGAGUUCAGGCUGCCAGAUGAAGAGGCUGGGCAGAUCCCAGCUGCUUGUGUUGUGAUAAACCAAGAAGCCAAAGAAAACGAAGAAGAUACCAUAAACUAUGUGGCCUCUAAUGUUGCCCGUAAUAAGAAAUUAAGAGUUGUGCACUUUGUGGAGAGCAUCCCAAAAUAACAUUCCGGAAAAAUAAUGAGAAGGCUUACUAAAAGAUGCAUGCAGACCGAUCCAAAGCCAAUGAUCAAGUCACUGGUUCUCAAAUGACACACUAAUCGUUGUAAACACCAUAUUUUGGUUGACCCUCAAAUGCGUAAUUUGUGUAAUUAAUAUACAAUUUUCUUCUAAAGUUGUAAUUUAGUUUCAAAUACUUUCUUGAAUGGAUCUUCCAUUUUAAUGUUA